CCUCUCCUGAUCUCCUUGACAGAGGCCUGAAACGUAAACAAAGUUGCCGAAUAAUAUUAGAGGAUUGGAUUGGAUUUUUGAGGGCAGGGACUGGUCGGGAUUCUCUGACAAUCUGACACUGCUGUGAUUGGUCAACAAUGGUAAAAGGAUAAUCUCCUGGAUGGAAUACCUCUGCAGCUGUGAGCUGUCUACUACACAAUGCUAACUGGAACAAUGACAUUCAGUUUGUUUCCUUUUUAUUUUUUAUUUAUUUGAUUUUGUACACAUUUCAAGUCCCCCACCCACUGCUAUUAUUCUGCUCUUCUCCAAUGUGCCUGAUGAUCCUAUUCUGCACACAACACUGG
ensembl:lncRNA